rnacentral:rRNA from 1 species
UACGGGGGGGGCAAGCGUUGGUUCGGAAUUACUGGGCGUAAAGGGCUCGUAGGCGGCCAACUAAGUCAGACGUGAAAUCCCUCAGCUUAACUGGGGAACUGCGUCUGAUACUGGAUGGCUUGAGUUCGGGAGAGGGAUGCGGAAUUCCAGGUGUAGCGGUGAAAUGCGUAGAUAUCUGGAGGAACACCGGUGGCGAAGGCGGCAUCCUGGACCGACACUGACGCUGAGGAGCGAAAGCCAGGGGAGCAAACGGG